AUACUGCAUUUGUGUAAGAAAAGAUAAACCAGCAUAAAGACAAGAGAGCUGUCUUUGGGAGAAAAGUAAGCCAUUUUGAAGCUUAGAAAUGCAUCCAAACUAAUUGGGAGGAACUUCAUCAUGUGGCAAGACAAUGACCCAAAACACACUGCAAAAACAAGACUUCAUCAGGGAGACAAAGGUUUUAGAAUGGCUGUAGGUGAUCGGUGUAUAUCAGUAUAUGGGAUACAAUCUAUCAGUAUAUAUCAGUAUAUAUUGUAACGUAAGUUUUUAUUCAAUGUGACUUCUAUGAAUUUGGUUUGUUUCAUUGCCAUUAUUGUGAAAUGGUCUGAUGUCUGACCAAUAGGAUUCGACCGUCAUGCAGCGUGUAGUGUAUGUACAUGGAAGUGAUGGUGAGAUUGAUUGCUGUUUAUGUACCCGCUGUAUGGCCCCUGAUGAGAUAAUUACUUAUCCUCGCUGGAGCUGGUGGGAGCAGCAUUGUAUUCCAAGUCUGACCAGUAAACAACUGAACUACAUCACUAGACUUGUCGUGUCGUUGCGAGCGCUUCCGGAGACUGACAGCAGAAUGGAGAGCUCCAGCUUGCCGCCCCCGGCCUGUGACCAGCAGCUGUGUCAGUCCCACGGCAGGUGUGUGAUGGUGGACAGGGAGCCCUCCUGUGAGUGUCUGCUGGGGUACAGAGGCUCGUUCUGCCAGGACCCGGGUCAGCCAGUCCAUCGGCGUGCCGCUGACGCUGGGCUUCCUGGGAGUCGUGGCUGGGCUCAUCCUGCUGGCCUUCACCUGCAGGUUCCUAUGGAAACGCGUGAAGAUCCAUCAGAGGAAAGUGGCGGCUACUCCGAAGCUGAUUCCCAUGGUGGACAUUGACAAAUGACAGCAGACCAAGGCUCCUCCAGUCACAGUUACUUCGCAUCCCUUUCAAAUCCUCUGGAAAGCUGCGGAACCACUGCCUGAUACCCAGAAUGCACUGGGCCCACUCACAUUUGCACAUAGGUCAAGAACAAGCAGUGAUGAUCUCACCAUAUACACUAAUUUCAGCUUUAAUGCUCAUGCAAGUCUGACUGAGUCCCAUAUUUCAGCGGAAAGACGUAUUUAAUGUUUUAGUAUAAUGGGGUGGAUAAUUGACUUAUCCUAACCCUAACUGGGUGAGCUGCAGAGGUUUUUGAAGUUAUAGAGAGUUAAAGUCUUCCCCAAACUGUUCCGAUCUCCUAUUUGGCGGUAGAACUAAAUAGUGGCUGAGUCCAUGGAUGGUAGAAACACAAGGUGUGGGACUCAUAUUUUCUGACCCGUGAAUCCUCCACUUCUGCUGUGCUGGGUUAAUGCCUCCCAUAUAAGCUAUUCACAGUGGCCUCAAACUCAGUGCCUUGGUGGGCCGUGUGUAUGCCGGUUUUUAUUCCAGCCCCAGAUCUUUAUUAUAUAAUUAGUUCAAUGAUUUGCUGAAUCAGUGCUGUAGGCUUGCAUGUAAUGUUAUAUUCUGUGCUUUAAUGCAGUUAAAUUAAUAUGGCUGAAUGAGCACUUGGAAUCAAUGCAGGCAGUAUUGUUUGGAAUGAAAGCCUCCAUCCACACAGCACUCCGUGGCAAUGAGACCACUGCUGCUCUGCUCCAAGGGAGCUUCUCUAGAGUGACAGACUAUAACCUUUAUUAUAUCUGGCUCAGAGAUAACUGCAGGAGCCCAUAAUUAGGUCUUCUUACUGAGGAUUUUGGAAAACAGUGUGAAACUAUUUCUGUGGUGAAAUAUUGGGAAAUCAAAGCUGCCUCAGGUCCUGGUUUUUCAAAAACUUGUUGAUCCAAUUUCAUAACUGGAAAACAAUAUCAUAUGUUUUAUUCGCCUUGGUGAGGUGACCUCAUCCUGUGUUUUAUCUGAUGAACAUUUAAAUUAAAGAUAGAGAUGGAUAAGUUUUCAUUUCAAAUAAUUUUACUCCUAAAAGCAUUAUCGUAUUGUACGUGAGGUUAUUAAGGGAAACAUGUUUUUUUUUAUUGUAGCAUUACACUUAUUUAAUUGCAGUAAGAGCGAUAUAAAGCACCUUACAUUAAAGUUUACAGUACUGAAAAGCUAAAAGCUUAACCUGAUUUGGUAUGUCUAAACAUUAUCUUAAAUGAACCAAUGAUCAAAAUCGUCAGUAUUUAGCACCUCAUUAGCAAUAACAAAAACAUUUUUUUUUUCUGUCACGUUUCUGAUACAGACCAGUUUCGGUGCUGCUCUCUAACCUCUAACAAACUUCUGUCACUUUAAAUCAAACAGUAUGGAUAUUCCAUUUCUCACAUUGCAUGCUUUAGCUAUGGAAGCUAUUCCGUGUCACAUUUACAAUUAUCAAACGACCAUGUCUAAUAAUGAAAACUCAACAGGUGAAUUAACAAACACCUACAUCGCAUACAAACUCAACACACUAAUUAUCAAAUGACGUAUACGGUUUUAUUACAUUGGUGUUUAUUUGUUUAAACAGAGCCGGCUUUUAACAUUCAUCAUGACCUCGUUUGGCAACUGCAUAUUUGAAACUAGUUGUUUCAAAACUAUCCUAGGUUAAACAGUUUUUUUUCAGAAGGGUAGUGACAUGAUGACGCAUAACCACACGUGGAAAUAAUAUUGAUUGUCACAAUAAAUGAAAAAUACUAUUAGUGUUAGCUGCUGGGUUAAGAAAAUAUUUUUGUGAAAGACAAUGUAAAACCAGAGUGGCUGAACCUCUGACUUGAGCCAAUAGCUAGGUAUAUCGCAGUCUCAGUAUCGCUGCGCUUGAGCAAACUGCAGAGCUAGACUAACCCACCUCAUUUAGUUGCCUAGGUGCUUUCUUAAUAGCAUUAAGAAAGCACCUAUAUAUAGGCCUAUAUAUAGAUAAAAUCGACCUCUGAAUGUAGUCCAUGUGCGCCUUCCGGCUACAAACAAAACAUCAAGAGCCAAAACAUGGAUCUGUAUCCAUGGGCGUGGCUUUUGAUUGACAUUUGUAGGCCGUCGUUCUGAAUUAUAAAUGCAAGCUUGGAAAUAACAAUGAUAAAUGGAAAUUACAAACUUGGUGAUGAUUAAUGAUAAAAGGUGGCUGUUUUUAUUUUAUUUUGAUUAUUUUUUACAUCAAAUAAACAUCGCUUUAAUGAAAUCGCACGCGGUCUUUUGUUAAUUCAUGUGCUGAGUUUGCAUGCGGUGGUUUGUUAAUUCACGCGCUGAGUUUUAAUAAUAUACAAUGUGUGGCCUUUUGUUCAAUCGUGUUUUGAGUUUUCAUUAUUAGUCGAGGCCCGGAAUAGCUUCCGUAUUUAACAACUAUGCUAGGACAUGUUUCUGUUUACUGUUUACAAACUUACAUUACGUAAUAAGAAGAGCUUAAUAUUGAUAUCGCAAAAUUGUAUAUGCUACUUCUGUUUUUAUACCUGGUCAUCACCCACUCCAUAAAUCUGAGGCGCAUGUCUAAACUUCAAGUACAAAGUUCAAAGUUCAUAAAUAGAACUUUCGUUGUCACUGAUUUCGUUUUAAACCCGCUUCUGAGAAGAGUUUCAGUUUUUCUUGCUUGGAGACUGCAAUAAAGAAUGAUUUAAACUCUAA